rnacentral:rRNA from 1 species
UUGUUAGGGAAGAACAAGUGCCGUUCAAAUAGGGCGGCACCUUGACGGUACCUAACCAGAAAGCCACGGCUAACUACGUGCCAGCAGCCGCGGUAAUACGUAGGUGGCAAGCGUUGUCCGGAAUUAUUGGGCGUAAAGGGCUCGCAGGCGGUUUCUUAAGUCUGAUGUGAAAGCCCCCGGCUCAACCGGGGAGGGUCAUUGGAAACUGGGGAACUUGAGUGCAGAAGAGGAGAGUGGAAUUCCACGUGUAGCGGUGAAAUGCGUAGAGAUGUGGAGGAACACCAGUGGCGAAGGCGACUCUCUGGUCUGUAACUGACGCUGAGGAGCGAAAGCGUGGGGAGCGAACAGGAUUAGAUACCCUGGUAGUCCACGCCGUAAACGAUGAGUGCUAAGUGUUAGGGGGUUUCCGCCCCUUAGUGCUGCAGCUAACGCAUUAAGCACUCCGCCUGGGGAGUACGGUCGCAAGACUGAAACUCAAAGGAAUUGACGGGGGCCCGCACAAGCGG